rnacentral:siRNA from 1 species
UGGUAAUCUUCAGGGCCGACCC